rnacentral:rRNA from 1 species
UACGGAGGGUGCAAGCGUUAUCCGGAUUCACUGGGUUUAAAGGGUGCGUAGGUGGGUUGGUAAGUCAGUGGUGAAAUCUCCAGGCUCAACUUGGAAACUGCCAUUGAUACUAUUAAUCUUGAAUACCGUGGAGGUCAGCGGAAUAUGUCAUGUAGCGGUGAAAUGCUUAGAUAUGACAUAGAACACCAAUUGCGAAGGCAGCUGGCUACACGAAUAUUGACACUGAUGAACGAAAGCGUGGGGAUCAAACAGG